rnacentral:rRNA from 1 species
AACGAACGCUGGCGGCAGGCUUAACACAUGCAAGUCGAGCGCCCCGCAAGGGGAGCGGCAGACGGGUGAGUAACGCGUGGGAACGUACCCUUUUCUACGGAAUAACGCAUGGAAACGUGUGCUAAUACCGUAUACGCCCUUCUGGGGAAAGAUUUAUCGGAGAAGGAUCGGCCCGCGUUGGAUUAGCUAGUUGGUGGGGUAAAGGCCUACCAAGGCGACGAUCCAUAGCUGGUCUGAGAGGAUGAUCAGACACAUUGGGACUGAGACACGGCCCAAACUCCUACGGGAGGCAGCAGUGGGGAAUAUUGGACAAUGGGCGCAAGCCUGAUCCAGCCAUGCCGCGUGAGUGAUGAAGGCCUUAGGGUUGUAAAGCUCUUUCAGUAGGGACGAUAAUGACGGUACCUACAGAAGAAGCCCCGGCUAACUUCGUGCCAGCCGCCGCGGUAAAAC